rnacentral:rRNA from 1 species
GACGUAGGGCGCGAGCGUUGUCCGGAUUUAUUGGGCGUAAAGAGCUCGUAGGCGGCUUGUUGCGUCGACCGUGAAAACCCGGGGCUCAACUUCGGGCUUGCGGUCGAUACGGGCGGGCUAGAGUUCGGUAGGGGAGACUGGAAUUCCUGGUGUAGCGGUGAAAUGCGCAGAUAUCAGGAGGAACACCAAUGGCGAAGGCAGCACUCUGGGACGUGACUGACGCUGAGACGCGAAAGCGUGGGGAGCAAACAGGG